GUCACAGUCGUCUUAGCGUUCCCGCGAGUGAGGUCUGGGGAGGCAGCUCAGCUGCCGUGAGUCGGCCAAGUGAAGUCGGGCUCUGCCUCUCUCCACCUUCGCUCCCCGGGGACGCUGGGCACCUGGGGAGCCGGACACCGCGACACGAGUGCUCAGGUUGGAGUUGUGGCUCUGCUCCCAAUGCCAGCUUCCUGCUGAUGGCUUAAGGAAUUGGGUCCCUGCCAUGCAUACAGAAGGCUUCAUUGAGUUCCCCACUCCUGGCUUCAGCAUGGCCCAGCCCUGGACAUGGCAGGUAUUUGGGGGAGUGAAGCAGUGGGUGGGAGCUCUCUGUUUUUCUUUCAAAUUAAAAAAGAAAAAGGUAUUAUCUGCCAAAUGGAUAUUUAGGGGGCAAAAUAUUAUGGACUAAAAACUCAGAAAUACUCAUUUUGGAAAUCACACACAGGAAUGUGGAGAGAGAGCACAAGGAUUUUGAAUCUGGGUAUGUGAUCUGAGGUUCGACUUCUGCCAUGUCAAAAAAAGACAUUUACUUGAAAGGCCAGCAACAAAGAGUGGAGUGACGGAGUGAGAGAAAUCUUCAUCUGCUGCCAUGUCAUUGUAACUCAUUUAAGCUUGAGUGGCUGUAUUUAUAGUGAGCAUAGUUGUGGGAAUCAGUAGGCAGGUAAGUUAAUACAGAUUGUGUUAUACGGCCAUGCCUUUUACAGAACACAUUUUCUCCAUGACAAAACUGGAAUGCCUUUGGUGGAGGCGGAGAACAGCUGUUCCAGGUUCUGGUGAAAAUGUGGGCUGGUGUGUUUGUGUCCUCAUUAGUCACCGUCACAUGAAUUUCCCCCACUGGGAACUGCCUACGGGAGAAUAAUCCCCAGAACUUGUUCCUGUUGUCAUGCCUAUCCUUUUCCUCAAAUAUAUGCAGGAGAUCUCGGGAAAUUUGUGAUUUUACCUUGAAGACUGUUCAUGCUGAAUAACCCAAGGAGCUCACAAAAAUCUGAAUGCUUUUUAAAUGUUCAAGCUAG